rnacentral:lncRNA from 1 species
AGAAGAGGGGAAGGUGAACCAAAUCCCAUAUACAACCAAAACCACACUCAUCCUCUCUCUUUCUUUCUUUCUUCCUUUUUCUAUUCUUCUUCCCCUUUUUCUUUUAAUCUAAUCCUCCUGUCUUACUGAACCAACUCUAGAAUCUCUCUCUCUCUCCCCUUUUUCUUGUUUGAUGAUAGAUCACCAAUAGAAUAAAGAAAAGCAACUACUAUCUCUCUAUCUAUCCUCUUAUUAUAUGCUCAAGAAUAGCUAAACCCCACUAGGACAUUUUUUUCCCAUAUGCCCCCACUACAACUAACUCAAAAUAACAAUAUUUUAUAUUCCUACUACCAUCUUGGUUUUAUACAAGGCUGAAAAAAUUACUCUAAAUUCCAAACGUUUGUUUCAUCUCCAUCCUUCUAAAGAUCCAAUCCAAAUAUACUAUCCCAUCUAAUUCAUAUUCAUUUUUUAUAACGUUAACUAUGAAUAAUUAAUAGCUGGUACCAAUCAAAUUCAUUAGAUAUAUGGUUGUUAGAAAUCUCAGUGAUGGGGUCAUCUCAUAAUAGAAAUAAGUUUGGUUGAUUAAUAGAAGAUACUCAUCAUAUGAAAAGAAGGGAUAUAUUAGUCAGAACUCGUCACAAAGCCAAAUGUGGAUGUUAGUUCCACAAACAUGGUAUAUACAUAUAUAAAGUAGUAAUUAAAUGAAAUCAGGUGCAUGUUUGGAAGAUUUUGGUGUUAGUUAAAUUAAUAAUCUAAGUUUGGUCCGAGUUUAGACAAAUUGAAGAAAGGCCGAGAUCACACCUUGUCUUUACCGCACUUUUUUAAUAGUACCUUACUUUACACCUAACUGAAGCUCACGCAUACUUACUGUCCUUCCUUUCUUCC